rnacentral:rRNA from 1 species
UGGUAUGCACUGGCUUUGCUGGUUCCUCCUUUCUGAAGAACUGUAAUGCCAUUAAUUUGGUGUUGCAGGGAAACAGGACUGUUACUUUGAAAAAAUUAGAGUGUUUAAAGCAAGCUAACGCUUGAAUACAUUAGCAUGGAAUAAUGAAAUAGGACGUUCGAUCCUAUUUUGUUGGUUUCUAGGAUUGACGUAAUGAUUAAUAGGGAUAGUUGGGGGCAUUAGUAUUCAAUUGUCAGAGGUGAAAUUCUUGGAUUUAUUGAAGACUAACUACUGCGAAAGCAUUUGCCAAGGAUGUUUUCAUUAAUCAAGAACGAAAGUUAGGGGAUCGGAGACGAUCAGAUACCGUCGUAGUCUUAACCAUAAACUAUGCCGACUAGGGAUCGGAUGAUGUUAAUUUUUUAAUGACUCAUUCGGCGCCUUACG